rnacentral:rRNA from 1 species
AGCAGCCGCGGUAAUUCCAGCUCCAAUAGCGUAUAUUAAAGUUGUUGCAGUUAAAAAGCUCGUAGUUGAAUUUCGGGAUCAAGUCGUCGGUCGUGCCUCGGUACGCACUGGUGACAUUGGUUUCUCCCUUCUGAAGAACCUUGAUGUCAUUAAUUUGGUGUCUUGGGGAAUCAGGACUGUUACUUUGAAAAAAUUAGAGUGUUUAAAGCAGGCUCACGCUUGAAUACAUUAGCAUGGAAUAAUGAAAUAGGACGUUUGAUUCUAUUUUGUUGGUUUCUAGGAUCGACGUAAUGAUUAAUAGGGAUAGUUGGGGGCAUUAGUAUUCAAUUGUCAGAGGUGAAAUUCUUGGAUUUAUUGAAGACUAACUACUGCGAAAGCAUUUGCCAAGGAUGUUUUCAUUAAUCAAGAACGAAAGUUAGGGGAUCGAAGACGAUCAGAUACCGUCGUAGUCUUAACCAUAAACUAUGCCGACUAGGGAUCGGAUGAUGUUAAUUUUUUAAUGACUUAUUCGGCGCCUUAC